rnacentral:rRNA from 1 species
UUGCAGGCUGCAACCCGCCUGCAUGAAGUCGGAAUUGCUAGUAAUCGCGGAUCAGCAUGCCGCGAUGAAUACGUUCCCGGGGCCCUUGUACACACCGCCCGUCACACCAUGGGAGCCGGUAAUACCCGAAGUCAGUAGUCCAACCACGUGAGGACGCUGCCGAAGGUAGGAUUGGCGACUGGGGUGAAGUCGUAACAAGGUACC